UUCCAGCUCCAAUAGCGUAUAUUAAAGUUGUUGCAGUUAAAAAGCUCGUAGUUGGAUUUCAAGAAAUGCAACUGGGCAACCAGGAUGCUUUCUACCAGUCUUAGACUGUUACUGUGAGAAAAUUAGAGUGUUUCAGGCAGGCAAUUGCAGGAAUACAUUAGCAUGGAAUAACGAAUGUGUCUACAAUUUGGUUGAUUGUAGGUUACAAUUAAUAGGGACAGUUGGGGGCAUUAGUAUUUAAUUGUCAGAG
rnacentral:rRNA from 1 species